rnacentral:lncRNA from 1 species
UGGGAAUUAUUUCAUAUAUAGGGCAAAAAUCUUGUGCUCACAGCUGCCCCUAUUUGCUCAGAAAUACGAAAAGUUUUUGUGCAAAGAUAAAUGACCAGAAACGAGCGAUUUUUGCCCGUCCGAAUAUUCCUUGUGAAGCAUUUUUGAAAGAGUUGACCGCACCCUGCUUCGGAGGUUGUCUACAUAUCCUGGGCUAAACAGGAAUCAGGUCAGUGUAGUUCGGGAGUGUCCGGUAGCUGGGACUACCAGGAGCUGUGAUUUCGCUGCGAUUUCACUGUGAUUGUUGCUGCUACUGCUCGCUCUCCUUCCUUAUUACACCAUGGAAAAAUAAAAGAAGCUAGACUAAGCUGUGAACUGUAAAUUACUAGAUCAUGUCUAAAUUCUUCAAACUUGUUCUUAUACUUCCUUGUUGUCUUAUAUUCUCUUCGUGAAGUCCAUUGUUGUUACUUCAACUUGUAAACUGAGAUGUUGUUCCUUGUCUUUAAAUUGCUGAACUUGAAUAAACUUGAACUUGAAUGUAUUCCUCUGUUAUAUGGGCGGGCUCCCAACUUCACAAAAAUAGACAAAACAAAAUUUUCUGCCCCAUGGAAAACUGGGUGGUUAUUACCAUAUACUAAUAAGAACUGAAAACUAAAACUUGAAUUGUGAUAAGGCUGAAGUGUAACUUUAAAAUUUAAAGACUGAAAUGUAUUCUCUUUUUAUAUAGGUGGGUUCCCAAUGUCAAAACUUAAAAUUUAAAGAAUGAAAUUUAUUCCCUUGUUAUAUGGGCGGGCUCCCAACUAUAAAACUUAAAAUUUAAAGACUGAAAUGUAUUCCCUUGGUAUAUGGGCGGGCUCCCAACUUUAAAACUUAAAAUUUAAAGACUGAAAUGUAUUUUGAACUUCAACUAAACCACAUUCCUCAGAAGUUUACGGUCAAACCUGUUUUGGCGCUUGCUUUUUCCAUGCGGGGAGUUUCCCGAAAUAGAUGAAAUUUCUGCCCUUGUUUCAAUCAAGAAAAAUCUUGUUAGUUUAAAGUAGUGGUUGGUUUGUGGCCUUGAACUUUGCGGUGAUUUUUGCUUCACUUUCCAUGAAGCUUGGUUUCCACUCGAAGACCUUGCUUGUUUAUGAACCAACCCCUUUUCUGUCGCCCUCAUCACAUAAAGUGCACAUGGCAUUGGCGUGAACUGGCCUCUCCCAAACCUUUGCCUUUCACAUGAAUCCCACAGCAGGUCCAUUGCCCCUACUCCGUGUAUACGUUGUUCUUCCUUGACUUAACUGAUGGCCUUGGCCUUGAGGUUCGUUGCUCCUUUACUUGUCAUGAUGACUUUCAUUUCCUUUCGAAGACCCCGCUUGUUUCUUUCCUAACCACUUCGGGUGUCAUCCUUAGCACAGAACACACCUCAUCUUCAUUCAAAACCCUAUCCCUAUACCUUCUGUUUGUUGCACUGCUUAGAAUUUAACCAACCUUGUUCCUCACGUGAACCCCAAAGCAUAUUGAUUACCACCCACAGUAUGUCAUUCUUCUACAUUGAACCCCUGGGCCCCUCGACCUUGAGGUGUAUUGCUCCUUCGCUUUCCAUGACAUCUUUGAUCUCACCUCAAAAGACAUUGCUUGCGUAUUGACUAACAACCUUCUAUGUCAUCUUUGCCCUAGAAAAUACCUCUUCUCCAUUCAAAUCCAAUACCCUCUAUCCGUUGCAUUUCUUAUGAACCGACAUCUACCACCCUUUGUGCUUCACCAGGAUCCCCAAAUCAUGUUGAUUAUUACCAGUCCAGUGCUAUUGUUGUUUUUCUUGACUUGUGCCACUUGAUAUGCUAGCCAAACCCCCAGUUUAUGCAAUUGGAAAGAUAGUGGCAAAUUUUAAAAUCAUUUCUCACUUUUUAUAAUCAAACAGACUCAGAAAGAGGAAGUGAAUAAAAAUAGAUGAACGGAGUGAAGGACAAAGGAAAGAGAUGAUUCCUAAAGAGAAAACUACGAAGUAGAAACCUAUAAAAGGUGGCUACCGACUCAAAUGACCAUGACAUGCAUCUGUAUAUAUUUUUUCAAUCAAUCCCGACGUUCAACUCUUGUUGUACCUUUCACUGUGAAACUGGACUUAAAUGCUCCGCUUAUCCAAUUUGAUUCGCUUUUCUUAUUCGACUUGUGGCGCCCAAAGGGUUUUCACUAUCAAGCCUCUCUCAUUUUGUUUUUUCUCUCAAUUUACUGUCGCCUCAAGGUGCCCGUGAAGGUCUUCACCAAUAAGACUCUCUCAUUUUUCUUUUCUCUCCACUUUCAUCGCCUUGCGGUACCCGUGAGGGUUUUCAUCAAUCUGGCUCUCUCAUUUUCAUUUUCCUUGUUUGGAUCAGAGUGUUGCCCCAGACAUAAAUUACCUUUACCUGCUUGACUUGGCAUUUCUCAAAGUCUGAUCAAAACGUCUUUCUUUGGACCGUAAUGUGGCUUUUGGACAGGGUUAAAAAAGGUAUGAAGGCUCAAAAACAAAUUAAAAAUGGGUUAAAAUUAAAACUUUCAGAAUCCAAUUUCUCAAAACAGCCACAAUUUCUGCCCUAGUGUUUUGCUUAGGGAUUUUUGGAUUUUUAUUUUGGCAUGACUGAACCUCAGAGAGGCUGCCUAUAUACCCUUCCGAGAUCAAGUCAAACGUAGUUCACGUCAUAAAAAUUACUUUUGUUGUGAUUUUCUUUCUCUUAUCUUCUUUUCUUCUAUCCUUUUUCAUUUUUCAUUUAUUUUCUUUUUCUUUCUUCUCUUUCUUUCUUUUCUUUUUUUGCUUUUCCUUUUUCUUCCUUUCUUCCUCCUUUUUCUCCUUUUUCUGUUUCUUCUUCUGUUUCCUUUCGUUCCUUUUCUUUUUUCUCUCUUUUUCCAUUUGUUUAUGUUCGUCACUUGUGUUUCUUUGAUUGUGUCGUUGAUUCCGAAAGAGGGGUAUGAAAGAAAACAAAUAAGGCUCAAAGAGGGUGAUAAAAAGGUAAAGUGUUUAGAUAGCAGAACAAAAUACCUUCGUCAUCUCAAACUUCAAAAUAUGCCAAAUACAAACAAGUGCAAUCAGAAUAAAGAAACCAUACACAUCAUCUCUUGACCGUAUCGGAAUUGACGGCCAUUUCCACACAAUUUUUUCUACAUCCGUCAAAUAUAAUGUGCCAUUAGGCAACACUCUUACUCUUAUUAGCACGACCGGCCCCCUGUAAAUUUGGCCAACUUGCUUUUACGGGGAUUGUUUAUGUUCUAUUUGACCCAGUUUCACAUGGUUAGGGCGCCAAACAAUCUCAAAACGUCCAAAUCUAUUCUUAUUUCCUCAAAUGCUCUCAUCGUCUUCAAAAUGGUUUCAUUACUUCCCGACAAAUGUAGCUUUUAAAGAUCAGACUGAGAAGUAUGCAUGCAUGUCAUGUCACUAGAACCAGCAAAAGACAAAACGAUAAGAUAGAAAAGAACUAAAGAAAGAGAAAUUAUUGGAAGUGACAAAAGAUCGUAAUUUGCAUUAGACAAACGAUGAGAUAGUUCGAAUAACAAAACAAACAAAACAAACUAGUGUAGAACCCUAGAAUGAACUGAAACAAACAUGGACAACACUAAACAAAUCACAACAACAAAAUAAGCUAGACAAAAAUGAAAGGAUAAGAGGGUUUGAUCACAAGAUAAUAUGCGGAUUACUACCCUGCAAAUAACCCGGACAACAGAAAUGACAACAAAAUGGACCACCAAAGCUCCUCCCCGGCUGACCUAGGAAUGGAGCGUCUUUCCAAUCACCAACAUUAGGAACUUUACAAACUUUCAUUACAUCAUCCUCAACAAGUUAUUUUUGGGUCUAUGAGGCUCUCAAAGAAUUCUCAUAUUCCUUUUCAAAACAAAUCAUGCCCACCAUGUCUACCUCAUUAUGCGCAUGCGAUGGAUUUUUUCCUGGUGUCCGGUGCAUCCAGAUUUUGUACGAUGAUGUUACCUGCGUUAAUAAGCUCUUGAACUUCUUUCUUCAGCUUCCAGCACUUUUCCAUGUCAUGCCCCGGAGCAUCUAAGCAAUAUGCACACUUUAGAGAAACAUCACAUUUUAAAGGGUUUGGCAUUUUUAUUUGAAUCGGCUUUAGCAUGCCUACUUGCUUCAACUUCUGGAACAAACUGACAUAUGAUUCUCCAAUACGGGUGAAAGCCUUUUCUCAUUUCAGCAACCUCUCGUUCCUAAACGCCUGAUCUGGCCUAAAAUCUGACUUAGGGAGUUUCUGGUCUACUCGCGUGGGGUGGAUAGGCAUUUUGUGGAGCUGGGUACUUGGCAAGUGAAGUAUGUAUAUGGGAGUACCGUGGAGAGAAGUAACAUUGGGGAGCGCCAUCCAGUGCAUGAGGAUAUUCAUGGGGUACUAUGUCGAGGUUGGAAAUGUUGAUCAGGAGAGCCCUUUGGAUCAUCUUUUCUGUUUCUCUCUCCUUUCCGAGCUUAUCGCGAUGUCCUGAAUGUCUUUUGAGCAACUCAUGAUUUUUCCCGACUUGAUUCCCUUUUCCACUAGCUCCCCCAUUUUUAACACAUCAUCGAAAGGUCUGCCCACGGACGGGAUAAAAUGAUUGAAGUAGGUGGGCCCCUAGGCCUGUAUGAAAUUUUCAACCAUCUCUUCUUCAUCAAUCAGGGUAUUGAUUCGAGCAGCUUGCUCCCUCCAUCUGAGCCCAAACUCUCUAAUGCUUUCCCAUGGCUUCUUUUCCAUUCUAGAUAGGGAGGAAUGGCCCACGGAUGGUUCUUUCAGCUUCCUGAAUUCCCUGUUUGUCCCUUCUCUUUCUGUGAACCUUCCAUUUUCAAAACGAGGCUUAUCUUGUGGGCAUUGUUCGUCCAAGUUGGGACCCUUAUGAGUGACCUAGGAGGGGUAAUAUUGGGCAUCACGAGCUCUGGUUAAGUGUUCUUUGUCGAGCAUAGUGGAUGUGACCGGAAGGCACCUUUGGGAAAAGAUAGUUGGAUGAUGAGUGAUGAAGCUACUAGAGUGGUUCGGAAAACUGUUAUAAGCGGGUAGAGAUGGGAAUAUGGAGGAUCAUCCGACAUUGUGUUCGGUAUUUGUGUAAGGACAGAAUCCAGGAAGCUAGCGGUGGCGGGGGUGGUGCUUUCCAAACAUCCACGCCCGAUACAUGUCUCCCACAUGCUAUCUCAGCAUUUUCACCUCUUCCACCAACCCGUUGACCUAUUCAACCGGCUGUUUUUAGGCAUUGGUACCAACUCACUCAGUUCUGUUAUUCUCCGCCAUUGUCUUUCGCCUUUGUGCUGCAAAGGAGAGUUAUCUUAAAACGACAAACCAACCACCUUUCUGAAAUGACAUGCCGAAAUGAAACCAUCAUGUUAGCGUUAGGGCAUUUAACUCAUUGAUAAUCUCACAUUUGGGGAAUGCAUGCACCUAAGCAGUUGACAAUCCCUAUUAUGCAUUUGCUAUCGCAUGCAUCAUCCCGGCCUUUUCUCGUUUUUGAUUGCAAACUCUCCUAUUUUCCUUUCUCUCUUUUUCUUUCUUUCUUCUCUUGUUUUCUUUCUUUCUUCUCUCAUUUUCUCCAUUUAUUUCUUUCUUUUCUUGGUUGUCCAUUUUUUUCUUUCCACUUUUGGUUUUUGCCUUAUUUUCUUUCUUCUAUCUUUUCCUUGUCUUUCCGUUCUUUUUCUUUUUCUCUUUUUUAUUUGGUUAUGAUCGAAUUCUAUGUCGAUUGCCAACGUAUCAUGGCCCCGCAUGAAUCAGACCGAGCGUAGUUCUUGCAAAUAAAAGAUAAACAACAAUAAAAUAUUUUUGAAAUUUUUCGAUUAUCAUGAUAAAAACAAAACCUACAAACUUAACGAUGAAGUACAAACUCGAAAAUCAAACGACCCAUACACCCUAAUCAAAAUAAAUACAAACCCAAAACAAAAUGACAAAUUCCUUCCUCUGUAUGCCAAUUUUGAACAAAUGGUUAUUUUUGCAAACGUGACCCAUUCUUAAUUUCACAUGAAUUUUGAGGCCGAGGAGGACAAUUUUAACAUAUCACAAACUUGACUGUUCUUUUACGAAAACAACCUUUCGACAGCUGAAAGAUACUCUAAGGCUAUAUCGACAAGAACAGUUUUAAGACACUACCGAAGCUGGCUCGCCUUAUUUUGACUAAAAAUUCAAAUGGCAUUCACUGGCCCACUAGCACUUUUCUUGUUUUUUUAAAUUAAAAUAAAAGACCCGAUUUUGCAAACACGACCUUUCAGCACCUUGGGGACGAAGAUUUUAAGGUUGCAUUUAGCUAAUCGGCCAAAACCUUGAAAGAUGACCAAAGGUGGCUAUUCUCGCAAAUGCAACCUUCCGGUGCCCUUUUAGGGACAUUCGGCUAUUUCUGAUAAAAAUGGCUUCACCUUUCUAUUCAUGCCAAAAUUUAGAACUUAGAUAUUUUUUGGCUAUUUUUGCAAAGGCGAGGUUGGGCCCGAUGAAGGUUGCCUAUGUAUCUGACAUCCGGUGAGAACCAAACCUGCGUAGUUCGGACAAAUUAACCGAACUAUUUUAAAACUAAACUCUUUUCCUUUUAUCUUUUUCAUGGCAUGACAAACUAUUUUUCCUUUUCCAUUUUUUUGAAAACAAGACAAACUAAAGACUCUUUUUUUUUUCUUUUUCAUUUUCAACAAACAAUAAACAACCUAUUUUUCCCAAACUAAAAUAAAACUCUUUUUCCAUUUUCUCAAAGUUUCUGCAGAGUUUCGACAGUAUUUUGGCAUUGAUUCUUCUAAAACUAAGCAAUUAACUCUCUACACUGCUAUUUCUCUCUUUUUCUCUUUUUCUCAAUUUGACAGUAUUCUUGAUAUUCAAAAGUCAGUCAGCGUGCAGGUCCGAGACAAAUAAAUGCACGGAAAACAAGUAGGAUGCAUUAGGGUGAUCUUUUCAUUUCAGGUUGCUAGUCCUAGACGAACCCAACCCCUGUGUUGAGUCCCCUAAAUCAAUUGCAACAUGAUGCAAAUAAGCGUUCCUACUAGGGAUCCGGCAUGAAGUCACGUUAUUCUAGGUUCAAAACCUGGGUAUGUGUUAUAGAUUGUGUACCCGAGGGGACAACUCGAGUUGAGAAAGGGGCAACUUACCGAGAACCAAAAGGCCAUCCAGCUUCAUAACUUGUCUAGCCUCUUUCUUAUUACUGGAUAUGACACUAACAGAAUAGAGAGUCUUAACCAGUAAGCACAUCCCCGGAGGUGAGAAGAGAAGGGUGUCAAACAGUUUAUAAACAAUUCAGAUAAUAUCAAAGCGGUAACAUUUAGCGCAUUCAGCACAAAACAUGUAAGAAAAUCAGAUAUAACCAAAUACAAUAAUUUAUCUAAUCUCGAAUUCUGAACCCUGAAAAAACUAUUCUGGGUUCUUUUCCCCAGCAGAGUCGCCAGAGCUGUCAUACCUCAUUUUUACCACACCCUCAAGGGCGUAAAAGAGUUUUUCCAAUUAAAGGACAAUCGGAAAGGGAUUUAAUUAUUAAAGUUCAUAGUCGCCACUUGGGAGAUUAAUAGUGUCCCAAGUCACAGAGUAAAUCCCGAACCGAGGAAAAUUAUGACUCUGUUAACAGUACGCGAAUCAGAAAUCCGAGUAAGGAAUUAUAUUAACCCUGAAGAAGGUGUUAGGCAUUUCCGGAUUCCGUGGUUCUAGCAAGGUCCCUUAACUGUUGUAUUUGAUUUUAUCUAAUUUUUAAAACAUGUUCUAUCUUAUGCGCUUUUAGUUAUAAACUGCUUUUAUAUUUAUUUUUAAUGGGAAUUGCAACAUCGUAAAAAUACAUCUCGAACCACGUCACAUCAAUGCGUCCGUGGUUGUCGACACAUUUCGACUUUAUUGAGAUUUGGAUUUGGGUCGCAUCAAUACGCACCCAAAUUUAAGAAUGUAAUUUUAUUAAAAUCGUACUUAAAGAGUCUAACAUAUUAUGCUUUUGGGGAAGGUCGUGAAAUUCGCUAAACGGCUCUCCCGAAUUCUAAGUAUUUUUAGUAUAAAUAUUUAUUAAGGGCCCCAUAAUUUAUUUGUUUUGUUCGGCAAGACUUGUCUCAUUUUUAUUUUUUUAAGCAAAUCCUAAAGAGACUAUGAUUUUCUAUAUUCUUUGUCUGUAAUAAAAUCAAAAUCCAUAUUAAUGGACUGACGAGUGGUUUAUUAGCAAAAGUAACAAAUGGCCCUCAAUAUCAUCUCCUAGGAAAAAAAACUAUUUGGGCCCAAUGCAGGCACAAGGCAAGCCCAGACGGACGCCAGUGCCUCAACUCAACAUCGAACCCCCACAAAGGAGACACAAAUAUGCAAUUACGGGAAAUAUUCUAGGCAGCUAUGCCAUAUCGAGCUCAUAUAACUUAUAACAAGCCAUAAUCCUAAAUUAAUUGGGCAAUUUGAUGGUACUGCACCCUUAAACAAUUUACUAAUCAAUGCAAUGACUAAUCUUUGAUUUUAAAAACAUACUGCAAAAUAGGAAAUUAAAUUACGAAAUGGCUAAAAGUCCCAACAGUCAAAUUAAUAGUGCAUAUUAAGAUCAACUAACCAUUGGCCUACAAUUAUUAGCUUCAUUUCGAAAAGAAAAAUAAAUGCUAAACCAAACUGAUAUCGACUAUAUGAGAAGCUAUUGCUAGAUGAUCAACAGUUUGCACAACUCAAUAGGCCGAGUGAGUACACAUAGAGAUAUGCUAGAACUCUGCAUUAUAAUAUCAACACAAGCUAAGCCAAACUAAAUUGCUACACACAUGGAUUACAUCUAAUUAAUCUAACAUUAUACUACUUAACAAUCCAGUCCAGAAUUAUUACAGAGUUUAAUCACAAUAAACAAGCAAAUGUGGCAGGGCCAUUAAAAUCACAAAGCCACAGUGCCAAAUUAUCCUUAAUUUCAUUUCAUAUCUCAACAGAUGAAGCUACAUCAAUGGAGUCUCGAGAUGUGUACCUGAAUGUCGAAAUACAAGAAGAAUAAGAAGAAGAUCAGCUAUAAUAGCAGAUUCCAGCAGAAUAAUUUGCUAACAGCAGGAAACACAGCAAGUUCAACCCAGAAACGAGUUCAACAAUCGAAGGAUAAUUCCAAACCAAACAGAAGCCAACAAAACAGUCGCAAUUAGCUUGAACAAAACCCAAGUGACUUCGAAUUCAAACCCAGAAAUACCUCUGAAACCUCAUCAACUAAAACAAACCAAAAUAGCUUGAAUACAUUCAAAAAACAGCUUGAAAUUGAACUCAAGAUCAGCUAUAAUAGCAGAUUCCAGCGGAAUAAUUUGCUAACAGCAGGAAACACAGCAAGUUCAACCCAGAAACGAGUUCAACAAUCGAAGGAUAAUUCCAAACCAAACAGAAGCCAACAAAACAGUCGCAAUUAGCUUGAACAAAACCCAAGUGACUUCGAAUUCAAACCCAGAAAUACCUCUGAAACCUCAUCAACUAAAACAAACCAAAAUAGCUUGAAUACAUUCAAAAAACAGCUUGAAAUUGAACUCAAGGUCACCAAGAACUCAGAUUUUUAACUGACAGUGCAGAAAUUCCAAUGUAAUAGUGUAUUUUUGUAGUUUUUUUGUAUUGUUUCUAUUUUUUUUGGUUUCUGAAGAUUUGGAGUUUUGAAAUUCAAAUUUCAGCUGGGAAGACUUAGAGAAUACUCUAGAGGAAUUUUCAGAUCUGUGUGCUUGAAGGGAGUUUUGGGGAGGGAAUUUUGGGCUCCCAAAACUUGUUCAUUAAGGCAUUGGUGUUGCCCUUUUAUAGGCAAAGAUGAGGGCAACCCUCAAUUUUCUGUUUACAAAUCAGUCCCUUAUUUAUUUUCACAAUAGUCCUCUACUUAAUGACCUGCUUCUCAAGUAAGUGCACCUAUUUUCUGAAUUUAGAGUAAAAGUUAUAUUCUAGAAGGUUCUAGUGAAUUCCAAUCAGUUUUAAAAGAUUCCCUUAUCCCUGAAUUGCCCCACUUACUCCUACUUUAUUCAAAGAUUUACUAAACUAAUCCAAAUGAAUUCAGCCUCCUUUUACCCAAGUUAAGCCUAUCCACUGUAGCCAACUUCAUCAGAUUAACAACUAAGUGAACUGAGCAUUACCGAAUGUCCAAACUAACUAAACCGAAUGAUCUACAACCAAUUGAUAACAACCAAAAGGGGUACUAAGAUCAGAUUUAAGUUUAAAUAAAUUCAAACAAGAUUGACUAAAGCAGAACAAACAAGAAAAAUAAUCUAGUAUUCAAACUAUUAGAUUCCCAAAUCUACAAACGACUCUAACCUACGAAUUGC